UACGUAGGGUGCGAGCGUUGUCCGGAAUUAUUGGGCGUAAAGAGCUCGUAGGCGGUGUGUCGCGUCGGCCGUGAAAACCUGGGGCUUAACUCUGGGCGUGCGGUCGAUACGGGCAUCACUAGAGUUCGGCAGGGGAGACUGGAAUUCCUGGUGUAGCGGUGAAAUGCGCAGAUAUCAGGAGGAACACCGGCGGCGAAGGCGGGUCUCUGGGCCGAUACUGACGCUGAGGAGCGAAAGCAUGGGUAGCGAACAGG
rnacentral:rRNA from 1 species